AAUCAUUUGCAGCAGCUGAAUCAAAAUGGUGAAAGCAUUUGGUUUCUUGGUGACUCUGGAUAUCCAUUGAGAACUUGGCUUCUAACACCAAUCCUUAACACACAACCUGGCAGUGCAGAAGA